AUUGAACGCUGGCGGCAGGCCUAACACAUGCAAGUCGAACGAGUGGCGGCCGGGUGAGUGAUGUCUGGGAAUCUGCCUGAUGGAGGGGGAUAACUUCUGAAAACGGUAACUAAUAACACAAACCAUGAGAUGUGCCCAGAUGGGAUUAGUGAGUAGGUGGGGUAAAGGCUCACCUAGGCGACGCUCCCUAGCUGGGCUGAGAGGAUGAAUAGCCCACCUGGAACUGAUGCAUGGUCCAGACUCCUACGGGAGGCAGCAUUGGGGAAAAGUACACAGUGGGCGCAAGCUUGAUGCAGCCAUGCCGCGUGUAUGAAUGAGGCAUUCGGGUUGUAAAGUACUUUCAGCGGGGAGGCGUUACCCGCAGAAUAAGCACCGGCUAACUCCGUGCCAGCCGCCGCGGUAAUAC
rnacentral:rRNA from 1 species